UGAGUAACACGUAUCCAACCUGCCGUCUACUCUUGGACAGCCUUCUGAAAGGAAGAUUAAUACAAGAUGGCAUCAUGAGUCCACAUGUUCACAUGAUUAAAGGUGUUCCGGUAGACGAUGGGGAUGCGUUCCAUUAGAUAGUAGGCGGGGUAACGGCCCACCUAGUCUUCGAUGGAUAGGGGUUCUGAGAGGAAGGUCCCCCACAUUGGAACUGAGACACGGUCCAA
rnacentral:rRNA from 1 species